rnacentral:rRNA from 1 species
UACGGAGAGUGCAAGCAUUAAUCGGAAUUAUUGGGCGUAAAGGGUGCGUAGGCGGCGCGGAAAGUUGGGUGUGAAAUCCCUCGGCUCAACCGAGGAACUGCGCCCAAAACUACCGUGCUCGAGGGAGAUAGAGGUGAGCGGAACUUAGGGUGGAGCGGUGAAAUGCGUUGAUAUCCGAAGGAACACCGGUGGCGAAAGCGGCUCACUGGAUCUCUUCUGACGCUGAGGCACGAAAGCUAGGGUAGCAAACGGG